rnacentral:rRNA from 1 species
AAGACCUUGCGCUUUUGGAGCGGCCGAUGCCUGAUUAGCUUGUUGGUAGGGUAAAAGCUUACCAAGGCUUCGAUCAGUAGCUGGUCUGAGAGGACGACCAGCCACACUGGGACUGAGACACGGCCCAGACUCCUACGGGAGGCAGCAGUGGGGAAUUUUGGACAAUGGGGGCAACCCUGAUCCAGCCAUGCCGCGUGAGUGAAGAAGGCCUUCGGGUUGUAAAGCUCUUUCAGCCGGAACGAAACGGUUACGGAUAACACCCGUGACUACUGACGGUACCGGAAGAAGAAGCACCGGCUAACUACGUGCUAGCAGCCGCGGUAAUACGUAGGGUGCGAGCGUUAAUCGGAACUACUGGGCGUAAAGCGUGCGCAGGUGGUUUUGUAAGUCAGAUGUGAAAGCCCCGGGCUCAACCUGGGAACU